GACGAACGCUGGCGGCGUGCUUAACACAUGCAAGUCGAACGAUGAAGCUGGAGCUUGCUCCGGUGGAUUAGUGGCGAACGGGUGAGUAACACGUGAGCAAUCUGCCCUUGACUCUGGGAUAACUGCGGGAAACUGUAGAUAUUACCGGAUACGAGGCUCGAAGUCAUCUCCGGGUCUGGAAAGAAUUUGGGACAAGGAUGAGCUCGCGGCGUAUCAGCUUGUUGGUGAGGUAAUGGCUCACCAAGGCGACGACGGGUAGCAGGCCCGGGAGGGUGACCGGCCACACUGGGACUGAGACACGGCCCAGACUCCUACGGGAGGCAGCAGUGGGGAAUAUUGCACAAUGGGCGAAAGCCUGAUGCAGCAACGCCGCGUGAGGGAUGAAGGCCUUCGGGUUGUAAACCUCUUUUAGCAGGGAAGAAGCGAAAGUGACGGUACCUGCAGUAAAAGCACCGGCUAACUACGUGCCAGCAGCCGCCGUAA
rnacentral:rRNA from 1 species